UCUUUUAAUUCUAUUAGACGAUAAUGUAAAAUCACACAUGAAAUCUGCGACGACUGAUGUGUCACCGGUCACCGCAGCGACGGCACCUACAAUUACCUCAGCGACGACUGAUGUAUCACCGGUCACCGCCGCGACGGCACCUACAAUUACCUCUGCGACGACUGAUGUGUCACCGGUCACCGCCGCGACGGCACCUACAAUUACCACUGCGACCUGCGGCGGCAUCUGCGACACCACUGCAAUCUGUUCCUGCUCGUGAUUGACUCAAAGGCGCCAAAAAAACUGUUUGAAGGAGAACAUACCACAUUGGCUUCUUUGGCAAGUCUGGAGCAAACAGCACCUGUAGAAUUUUGAUCCUCAUCAAACCAACCAACUUCAAAAGUGAGUAUCUUGGAAAGCAUUCUUUCUCUAACCCUUUUAGUCAAGUACUCUCCCAUGUAAGCAAAGCUAUAAUGUUGAAGCACAUUAAAAACCAAUGAAGACACAGCCAACCCUAGAAAACAAAAUGCAUAGAUCCUAAUUUGUUUCUUGAUCUCAUCAUGGUCCUCCAGAAAAUAAACUGAUGCAACUGACCCUGUUGAAAAUGUAUACAAAGGAUUAACCGCACCGAAGAAAAUCGCGCUCAAACAACCCAAACACACUUGCUUCCACUCUGGAAAAUUCAUUGCCAACAACCUUCGAAACGAAGGAACCUUUACCUUCUCCUUCUUCUCCCUCUCCUUAUCAUUAUUGAUAUUAUUAUUAAAUACCUCAACAUCAUUAACGAUAUCUCCAACAACAUUUUUAUCGUUAACAAUAUCCCCACCACCACGUGUCAUUGAGUCAAAAGAGCUAGAAUGUGUUGCGAGUCUAUAACUAUUUGUGUUUUGCAUGUGAUCUAUAUUAAUGAUAGAUGGAGUAUCUUCGUUUUGGUCAUUUUUGGUUUGCUGGAUACGAACGAGGGAAGUGUAAAGCGAAUUGUCAUUUUGAAUGAGGCUCUCGUGAGAUCCCGUUUCCACGAUCUUACCAUUUUGAACGAAUGCAAUGAUGUCUGCAUUUUGGAUGGUGGAUAAGCGGUGAGCGAUGAUGAUGGUGGUGCGUCCAACCACGGCUUUGUCUAGAGCUUGUUGGACGACUCGUUCGGAUUCAGAAUCGAGUGCACUUGUUGCUUCAUCUAGCAAUAGAAUUCUUGGCAUUUUUAUUAUGGCUCUUGCGAUGGCAAUCCUCUGCUUUUGUCCUCCUGACAUUUGUAUUCCGCUCUCCCCAACCUGUAUUAGUAAGCAUACAAUUAACAUCUUAAGUAUAACCACUAUGUUAAGGUUGAAGUUUUGGAUCUAGAAACUAUAAAGUGUCUGCAAUGAUUUGUUAUGUGAUUCAGCUGGGUGUUCCAAUAUUUGGACAGAUAAAGGAAGACACAAAAAGUAAGAAGAAUUUAUUGAAAGAAAUAGUGAUUUACAAGUAGUUUUACUUUGCCUAACAUAAGUAUAUCUCGAGUUUAGAUUCUUAUGAUUGGACUUUUGUGUUUAGGUAAUAUAGAGCCGAUUCCAGCACUUCUGCAACAUGCCAUUGAUCACUUUAUUCAAUGGCACUUACUUCUCUAAUUUAGUGGAAUUAGUUUGAUUCAUGUGAGUAUGAUUCAUGCAAUUUGAAUGGGAAAGAUAAGGUGCUUCAUGUACGUGGACCACCAUACUAGUGUUUUUUUAUUUUAUGAAAUUAUUAUAACAGAUUUCACACGAUGAAGAAUAAGGAAUAUAAACUAUUGUUCAAGUAAUUAAAAAUAGAUUUUAAGUGAGAAUGUUCAAUAACCA